UUCUGCAGUAGUGUAAGGAGAGAAAAAAAGGGGUAAAUAGCUCUUACGUGGAAUGGAAGAAUACCAACAGCUCCCCCCAUUUUUGGGGGGUGGCCUACUUGUGGGGGCUGGCCAGGGGCAGACCCAGGUGUGCUAUCUGCACCUGUGAAGCUUUGUUGAGGAGAAGGUGGCAAUGCAGAUAAGGUGCAGCUGUGAAAAAAAAAAAGAGAAAUGCAGGCUGCAGGGCCUCAGGGAGGAACCCGUGAGUGUUUGGUGUGUAAGAUGUGGUUCUGGUCUUCUGCUUUCUGAGAAACUUCUGUGGGAGAGGGUGAGUUCCUUCUCAGGUGUGUUUCUCACCCUGAUCCACAGGCCUUGAGGACUAAAAGGAGCGAGGAGUUAUUUUUCCAAAUGCUGUCAUUUGCUCCCAACUGUCUUCCAGCAGGAGCCUUGUUUGAUGUGCUGAUGGCGAGGCAUCUUCCUCACAGCCUGUUGCCUGGUGUGCUGCACUUAUCUCACCGCUUUCCCAGACUCUCACGCCCUUUGCUUUCUUCUGCCUUACGACCAUUUUUCCUCCUCCCAACUUUUUUUUUACUUAAAAAAAAAAAAAAAAAAAAUCCCCAUUCCGUUGCAUCUCCUGUGGCUUUCCCCUACUUCCCAGUGGCUCCCUGUGUUUGAGUGUUUGCCAAGGGCAGGACAUCAGUGGGGCUGGCGAGCACAUGUUUUUGCAGCUGCUGCAUGAGCCCAGAAUCCACAUUUUGGGUGGAGAAGCUGCUGUUUGCUUGCCACUGUGUGUGUAUUCAUGAGCUACCACCUUGAUAGGUCCCCUGUGAGAGCUGAGGUAGAACGGGAAAAGGAUUUAGAAGUGGUGAGCUCCUCAUCCAUAGUUGAGGGAUUAUGCCCACAGGGGUGGGUUAGAUACACAGCUCUCCAGCACUACAGCUUUUAUUUCCCUGGUAUCUAACAGUGCCAUGUUCCAGUAGGACUUCAAUCAGUGAAUGCACAAGGGAGGCUUCGUGUUUCCAGGCUUCUGCUUCCCUGGAAAUGGAGCUGGUGGUGGGUUCGUGGUUAGAGUACAGUUUAUCUGUCAUUGUUUUUGCAGUUUGCUGCCCUAGCAUGUCUGAAAGCUUUGGCAAGUGUUAUGCCUGGUUUAGCUGGCUGGUUUCUAACACCUCCUAAGACAAGGAGAAGCCCUCUAGCCAAGUGGAGGCAGCAUGCGGGGUUGGGGGGAGUGAAAUUCAAUUAACAGAUUUGAGACUUGAGCCCACGGAAACCCGGUGUAGUGCUGCUAUACCAGUGAGCUGCUAUUAAAAUCACGCAGUUCAAAAAUCUUCAAAUACAGUGACCGUGAAUUGUGCUGAAGUUGGAUAAAGUUUUUUCUUGCUGACCUGAUCUGCAGCUUUAUAGUCCAUGUUUUGCAAGGGCUCCAUGGGAAACUCUUGUGGUGCUGCUGAACAAUAAGCUCUGCGAUUUUUCUGUCUCCUGGUAGAUCUGGGUGUAUGAAGACAGUGACGCGGCUGGCUGAUGUCUGCUACAGAAACAGCAGGGUUCCAGGUGGCAGCUGGCUGCUGGGGGGGGGCUUGGGAAGAUGGUAUCAGUGAACAGCUGCCCCAAAAGGGAGCCUGGGGAAGUAUUUGCAGAGGGUUUCAGGUUUGGAUUCCUUUCAGCCUUGUUCUGCACAGCCCUACUGUGAUUUGUUGUCCUAACUUGACUCCAAAUUAAAACACUGCCAUCUCAGAGUGAUCUACUAUCUGGAGCAUGAAGUAUAUCAUCUCUGACUCAAAUACAGUGUGAGCAGCAAACCCAGCGGCUUUUGGUGUGGUUUUCUUUUCACUUGGCAUAAAUGAUUUCUCAAUACAUUGAGAGAUGCAGCUGCUUAAAACUUCCAAAAUUUUGAGAUACGUUUUCGAUGAAAUGACACUUGUUAUCUUACUCUUUUCUGUUGCUGCAGGCAUUAUUUAAAACUAAAUCUGACUGUAGGUACUAGGAGCUAUAUAUACUUAAUUUCUAUUUUCGUGACACUCCACUAAAAUCAAAUUCAGUAUGAUUUGUAAUCACUUAACCGUGCCUCAUUCAGUCAUGGUUUCUAUCAUGUUUUUCAGCCAAGACUUCUGUUCAUGGUAAUAGGGACAAGGUAAUUUUGCAUCCUAAGGGACUGUAGUACUAUGGAGUUUAUAGUUUCUGGUCCUCCCUUCCUCUUUCAUGGUCUUUAUUCUGGAAUGCAAGUUGGCUGGGUCAUAACAGCAGUGUUGAGUCAGAAGACUUUGCAGUUCAUUAAAUAGGACAGUUUUCUCUUAAUCCUUUUCACAAAAAUGUGAUUCAUUGUGUGAUUGACUCAUUUGUUGGCUGUUGAGAGAAUGCUUUUUCCAGUUUUGGUUAAACACGUCACCUUGCCUCAUGAUAAAUUAGAGUAGCCUUAACAUCACAUGUUGAUGUGUGUUUUGUUUUUUUUUCUAUUUUGCUGUUGUACUCCAUCUCUUGGUCACUUGAAAUAGAAUUGCUGGGGAAAGCACAAACGUCAUGUUUGUGCAAUGAACACCAGAUCUGGUGGCCUACGUCGGUAAAGGUUGAAAUUGUGACACCGAGUUAACCAGCUCAUCAUUUCUGCACGUGGACUGCUACCGUGCGGGGGCAGAGGGGAAUGUUAGUGUGUGGCCAUUACAAGCGCAAGGUUAAAUCCAGCUCUGUGCCCGCUCAGACCUGUGUGCUCAUCCACCUGCAGCAGUGCAGCUGGAAAAUGCAGCCACGCCAUGGCGAAGUGAGGAUGGCUUUGUACCGUAGGCCAGCGAGCAUCAGCUUGAAUGCAAGCUCGUGUCAAAGAAGCCAGGGCUUUUUUUUUUUUGGGGGGGGGGAAGUGAAGAUUUGUUUUUCUUGCUAACACAUUCCUUCCACAAACCACCCUAAGCCUAUGCAUCUGCAGGGCUAGAAUUCAGUUUUACUUUCGUUUAACAAGCAUACAAAAAAGUGAUCAGUGUGUUUCCUAGGUAAUAGAAGUAGUAACAAUUUUGAAUAUGCAGCUGUGCCUUCCAUGUACUUCUGCUCACACUCUCACAUACAAAAGAUAAGGGAAGAAAUCAAUGCAAAACCGUUCCAGUAACUAAAUAGAUCCCUAUUAGUUUUCAGGCAAUUGAUUUUUAGUAGGCAUUGUGCAUGUUAGCUGUUCUUUUUUGCUGUGAGUGAGGUGGGAUUUCCAAUUAGAUUUUUAACUGUCAAUGAUUUACUAAGCGCAUUAUGUUAUUGAUUGUUCCACAGAAGGAACAGUUGCAAAAAUAAUAAUAAAAAAACCUGUGCAAGUGAAGGCUGAAUUUUUUCAGUUACACUGUAGUUACAGAUGACUCUAAUAUGUUGAUUUUUCUCCAGUGCCAUUUCUUUUUCAUGAUUAGGUUUGAGUUUCUUGAGAAAUUUAUACUAUAAUCAGAUUGGCUUCUUGGAAAAUUCUGCUGUAUCAUUUUAGCGAUGCAGAGAGUCCGUGUAAAGAGCAGAAUAAUAACGGCUUCAACUUUCAUAUUUGAAUUUCACUGCUUUUGAGGUAGUAGCAUCAGUCAUGAUUAGAUUUGGUCAAAUAAACUCAAAGCUACUGUGUAAGAGCGAUCUGUGAUGCUUAGUGUAAUGCAAGAGAUUAAUCCAUUUUCUCACUGUAGGGCACAGCUACCAACUCUUUCCUUUUAAGAACUCUAUUUUCUUUUUAAUGAUAUAUUAUGAAUAAUAAUUUGUAUUCAUAUCUUACCUGCUAAGCGAUUUUGAGUUUCAGUGAAUGAAACU